UCAAAUCAUCAUGCCCCUUAUGCUUAGGGCUACACACGUGCUACAAUGGGUAGUACAGAGGGUUGCCAAGCCGUAAGGUGGAGCUAAUCCCUUAAAGCUACUCCCAGUUCGGAUUGUAGGCUGAAACGCGCCUACAUGAAGCUGGAGUUACUAGUAAUCGCAGAUCAGAAUGCUGCGGUGAAUGCGUUCCCGGGUCUUGUACACACCGCCCGUCACACCACGGGAGUUGGA
rnacentral:rRNA from 1 species